rnacentral:rRNA from 1 species
GUGUCAGCAGCCGCGGUAAUACGUAGGCAGCGAGCGUUGUUCGGAAUUACUGGGCGUAAAGAGUGUGUAGGCGGUGCUCUAAGUCUGUCGUGAAAUCUCCCGGCUUAACUGGGAGGGUGCGGCGGAAACUGGAGUGCUAGAGGGUGGGAGAGGAAAGCGGAAUUCCUGGUGUAGCGGUGAAAUGCGUAGAUAUCAGGAGGAACACCUGCGGUGUAGACAGCUUUCUGGACCACUUCUGACGCUGAGACACGAAAGCGUGGGUAGCAAACAGGAUUAGAUACCCCGGUAGUCC